ACAAGCUUGAGAAAUGGGCCUGUAUGAACCUCAUGAGGUUCAACAAGGUCAAAUGCAGAGUCCUGCACCUGGGUUGGGGCAACCCCUGGUAUCAAUACAGGCUGGGGGAUGAGGGAUUGAGAGCAGCCCUGAGGAGAAGGACUUGGGGGUACUGGUGGAUGAAAAGCUGGGACAUGAGCAAACAAUGUGCGCUUGCAGCCCAGAAGGCCAAUGGCAUCCUGGGCUGCAUCAAAAGAAGCGUGGCCAGCAGGUCAAGGGAGGUGAUUCUGUCCCUUUACUCUGCUCUGGUGAGACCCCACCUGGAGUACUGUGUCCAGCUCUGGAGCCCUCAGCACAGAAAAGACAUGGAUCUGUUGGAGUGGAUCCAGCAGAGGGCCACAAAAAUGAUCUGAGAGCUGGAGCACCUCUCCUAUGAGGACAGGCUGAGAGAGUUGGGAUUGUUCAGCCUGGAGAAGAGAAGGCUCCAGGGAGAACUUAUUGUGGCCUUUCAACACUGAAAAGGGGCUUACAAGAAAGAUGGGGGAAAACUUUCUAGCAGGGCCUGUUGCGAUAGGACAAGGGAUAAUGGUUUUAAACUAAAAGAGGGUAGAUUCAGACUAGAUAUGAGGAAGAAAUUUUUUACAAUGAGGAUGGUGAAACACUGGCACAGGUUGCCCAGAGAGGUGGUAGAUGUCCCAUCCUGGGAAAUAUUCAAGGCCAGGUUGUACGGGGCUCUGAGCAACCUGAUCUAGUUGAAGAUGUCCCUCCUCAUUGCGGGGGGGUUGGACUCAAUGAUCUUUAAAGGUCCCUUCCAACCCAAACUAUUCUAUGAUUCUAUGGUUUUCUUCCUGCUUGUUCUACUACAAUUGCCCAAAACUUUAAUACAGCCACUGUGAGGCAAGAUUUUGGGGAUGGAGUGAAAUGAGAAAAAGACUGCUUGAGGUCAUUUAGCAGUGGUUAUCUUUUAGAGAAAAAACUUAUUUCAGCAUAAAAUGAAAGGCCAAUCAAAGCCAAAUUUGGUCUUACAAGAACUUUGAAAGUCUCAGCUGUGCUCAAGAAGAUUUUCUCCAAACCUGUAUGUGUACAUUACAUUGAUCACAAGAAAGUUCAGAAAAUACUCAAUAUUAGUUUUAACUGGCGUACCUGUAUCCCAAAGAUGGUUCUCAAAUAGGCCCCGUGUAUCAUUCCCUUAAUGAAAUAAACAUCUGUGAAAAACAAAGGUGGUCUAAGGAAGGGUAUUUGGCAGCAAAGUCCACUCUUGCCAGAUGUAGGGGUAUUUCACCACAGCACCUGGCAUCACAGACCCUCACCAUGCAGGCAAAGAGACUGACUUUCACCUCCUGCCGUUUUAACACCAGAACGAGCAAUGCAUCACCACAUGCAAAACACAGGCCAUGGCGUCAUCUGUGGGCAACAAAGGUCCCACCUUCUGAGUGCUAAUAUGGAACCCAAAAAAUACAUCAUGACUGUGCUUCCCUCUGCAAAGGGCUGAGUUUUGUUUUGACUAAAAAUAUACUUAUUGCUAAUAAAGCACUAACAUGGUUUUGCCUGGUUUCUCAUACCAAAAGAGAGCAGAACACCCUUGAAUUGUUCUUGAGGGAUGGACAACAGAGACAGGGAACAGGACAAUGUCAGCGUUCCCUAAGAAGUUGCUUUUAACGAAGAGCAUUUAAUGAAGAUCAAGCGGUAUAUGUUACAGACUUUGUGUAGUUUAACUAAAAGAGGCCAUAACCCUCUGGAGUUUACAAGUGCUUUGUAUGAACCAGAAAAAUUUGGCUGACAUCUGCCUUUACAGCAGAUUUCCCAUAGCAUCCAGCUAUUCCAGUUUAUUCAUAAUUAAAAGACAUCAGAGACAUCUGCUUUAAAAGUGGAAGCAAACCUUCCAAGCGGUUACAGCUGCAUGGUCUUUAUUCUAUUUUUCAAUGCAAUGGGACCAUCUUCUUUUCAAAAUGACCUUCUUCUAUCUACCACUAUAAAUACUACCGUUGUCCAUGGCUUGUUAUCGCAGUAAAUUACUGAACUAGAAACAAUACGGAAUGACCUUCUUUUUGAGAAGAUUACUGGGGAUGCAGCGGCAGCGGCAGCAGGAAGGAGCAGCAGAGGCAUAGUACUUAGCACAAAUAAUACUGGCAUGAGCAAUGAUAACUUUUAAAAACGUUUCUUAUGAAAUGGAGAUCAGAUAAGAAUAUAGUCAGGUCUUUAUUGACACAAGAUCAUAGGAAAAAAACACCUUACACGGACAACACUCACAAACAUUCCUGCUCAAAUGACAUUUCAUCUGGUUUAGGGGUUGGGAAGGAGGAUCAAGCAAUGGAGCAAGUGACUCCUUUCCCACUGGCCGCCUCCCUUCAUAAAGUGUUUUAUAAAUGAUGAUGCAUAGAAAUAAGGUGUUGUUCACUCGGGAAGAGAAAUUUCAUUGCCUGUUUUUCACUUGGUGCAUUUGUGUUUCAAAGGAAGCCCAGGUUUCUUCUGUAUCUUCCUCUACCCUUUCAUGGGCUGUCCUGAUGAUAACACCCUGUUUUCUGCUUCACAUAAUCGCUUGUCUUGAAUUCGCAGUCAGUGGCAUCACCGCUCUGAGAAGGUAACUGGCUGGCUGCAAGGACAAGUGAGGUCACCCAGAGCGUGUGUUCCUACUAAAAUUACUACAAUAAAUGAUUUAUCACCUCGGAGGAAAAAUAUCUGAAGAAAUAGAAAAUACUUUUCUCAGAUCCUUAUACAGGAAAAUUGCAUUAGCUCCAUCAUAUGUCAAGUAACGUGGCAGAGCGGUUCGGUGUUUUACUCCACUCUUUAGCCAAACCCAGGCUUGGCCGCUUCUCAUCAAAGGUGUAUCCUCCACAAAAAGAGGCAGCAAUGCACGUGUCUGCUCAAGUGCAAACCUCGAUGGAGACCAACCCCCUCCAGCAGUGACAGAUCCAGGCAGACCUGAGCCUCAGAGAUAUUCUGUGUAGCUCCCAGUCAGUAGGAGGUUGCAUCUGCCCCGUUGCUCUACACCUGCUGCAAUGCUUGGAGUGAUGCUGCACUCAGCCUCUGUGUCCCUCCAACAUGGGGAAAGCGUUGCUGCAGGGCACCGAGUUGCAGAGGAUGAGGAUGGUGUUGAGACGGUCCCUCUGUGGCAGGUGGGCUGUUGUCCCAAAAACACAUCCAGGGCAAAGAUUUGUGACUGAGGGCAAAGGGAGAGCAGAAUGUGCUGCGAACACAAAAACAGAGUGAGAAAAGCAUGUUACAGGAUGAGCUUUGACACGUGGCUGGUUUGCGUGUGAGAAAAGAUGGUGCUUGAACUUACCUGGAGCUGAGUAGAGGAAUCAAGACAGAAGCAGGAUGGCAUGUCUCAGAGAGCAUGUAAGGAGGAAGCCACAUCCAAUUCCAGGGAUUCCCAAAGGCCGAUUUUACUGGGAAAAAUCAAGGCAAAGAAGGCAUUGAGUACCUUGGCUUUUUCCAUCACCUUCCCAGGGAUCGAGUCCUCAGGAACCUCUCCCACUUGCCACGACCUUCCAAAGAUGGUCAAGACUGGCAUUGCAAUGACAUUGGCCAGUGCCCUCAGCAGUCAUGGAUGCAUCCCGUCAGGUCUCAUGGACUGUGUAUGUCCAGUUUCUUUGAAUGUUUCCUAACCUGAUCCUCCUUCACAGAGGAAGGGAACACACGUUAUUACAGAGGUACGAAUUUCACACUUGUGGGAGAUCAGUGGAAUGAGACCAUCAGCUGUGUCUGUUGCCCUGACCAUGCACGGAGGACCACCACACUACUGUGGCUCUUGAAGGACCUUCUGGAAUAUUGCCAUCUCAUACUGUUUCCUACAAAAUACAUUUCUUUUCUCUGUGAUGCUUUGAGAAAUUCCCACUCCAGCCUCUUCUCAAGGGUCGUUAGUCAUCCCUUUCCAGCACUUUAGUAUCAUAUGUGAUUGACCAGACUGUGCUGGUGCGUACUCCUUGCAAUCCCCCAAAGGUCCUCAUGAAAAACCAACACAGAUUUCCCUUAAAAAACCCAGCGUGAUGGGAGUCACUGAUUUUUACCAGCUGUAUGCUGACCCUGAGUUAGUUUAAAACUGCAAGAUUCACACUUGGACAGAAGCAUAUGGAUUAGUACUACUAAUUCAUUUAUUUUUAACUGUCUCUAGAGGUUUUCACUGAUAUUCUUGUUUCUGAGUCCUGAUGUGGUAAAUACUACUUUGCUUGGAGACAGCUCACAGUUUCGACCUGUUUAGUGAUCUUCCUAAAUAUCCACUGGGAAGAAAGCAUUUUACGUCCACGAAUCUAGUUCAUUCGAAUUCUGAUAAUAGCUUCAAUUCAAUAUCUUAUUAUUUCUUAUUUAUAAUGUAAUGACCAAAGCUACACGUUGCUGUCUAUUUUUUAUAUACUUUCUCAAACAACGCCUGUAUUUUCACUUCACUUCUCUCCUAACCUUCACAGAAUCACAGAAUCAUAGAAUCACAGAAUCACAGAAUGAUAGGGGUUGGAAGAGACCUCUUGGAGAUCAUCUAGUCCAACCCCCUGCCAGAGCAGGGUCACCUAGAGCAGGUUGCACAGGAACACAUCCAGGUGGGUUUUGAAUGUCUUCAGAGAUGGAGACUCCACCACCUCUCUGGGCAACCUGUUCCAGUGCUCUGCCACCCUCAAAGUAAAGAAGUUCCUCCUCAUGUUUAGGUGGAACUUCCUAUGUUGAAGUUUGUGCCCGUUACCUCUUGUCCCGUUGCUGGGCACCACUGAAAAGAACCUGGCCCCACCCUUCUGACUGCUUGACUUCAUCAGACUAUUUAUCAGAUUUGUAUAUUCAGCUUCAUUUUACUAAUCUUUGUAUUUCUAUACUUCAUUUCCCUGGCAUUAAGAGGAAAUUCAACAGUAAAAAAAAAAUAAAAAUCAUAUAAUUGCUCUGUUUCUUAUUUCAUAAAUCUCAUUUCAAAAUCCAAUAGUUAAAAUUUGGUGACACCACUUUUCUCCAGAAGAAGCAACCCUUGGGUCUCCGUUACCAUUCAAAUCAGUUAUUAAAACAGAGCAAAACUGCGGUGGUACAAGACGAUGUACUGGCGAUGCCCAAACCAGUUUCUGCAAGACAGGA